CGUCCCGCCGGCGACCGGCGCACGGGUGAGUAACACGUAUGCAACCUGGCCGCCACAGGGGGAUAACCCGCGGAAACGCGGCCUAAUACCCCGUGACGCCACCGGAGGGCAUCCUCCGGUGGCCAAAGGAGCGAUCCGGUGGCGGAUGGGCAUGCGGCGCAUUAGCUAGACGGCGGGGUGACGGCCCACCGUGGCGACGAUGCGUAGGGGUUCUGAGAGGAAGGCCCCCCACACUGGGACUGAGACACGGCCCAGACUCCUACGGAAGGCAGCAG
rnacentral:rRNA from 1 species